GAAGUUUAAUAUAGAUGUCAUAAACAGGAUGAGAAACGCAUGACCUUGUGCAAUGCAAAAGAAUAAGUCUUGGUUAUGUUUAUUCAAGAUAAGUUUUCUUAAGUAAAUUUUCACAGUUAAUUUAGAAAAGAGGGACGAAAGAUACCAAAGGGACAGUCAAACCCAUAAAUCGAAAAUAAACUGACAACGCCAUUGCCAAAAAAUGAAAAAGACAAGCA
rnacentral:lncRNA from 1 species